AGUGAACGCUGGCGGUAGGCCUAACACAUGCCAGUCGAACGGCAGCACAGUAAGAGCUUGCUCUUACGGGUGGCGAGUGGCGGACGGGUGAGGAAUACAUCGGAAUCUACUUUUUCGUGGGGGAUAACGUAGGGAAACUUACGCUAAUACCGCAUACGACCUACGGGUGAAAGCAGGGGAUCUUCGGACCUUGCGCGAUUGAAUGAGCCGAUGUCGGAUUAGCUAGUUGGCGGGGUAAAGGCCCACCAAGGCGACGAUCCGUAGCUGGUCUGAGAGGAUGAUCAGCCACACUGGAACUGAGACACGGUCCAGACUCCUACGGGAGGCAGCAGUGGGGAAUAUUGGACAGUGGGCGCAAGCAUGAUCCAGCCAUGCCGCGUGGGUGGAGGAGGCCUUCGGGUUGUAAAGCCCUUUUGUUGGGAAUGAAAAGCAGCAGGUUAAUACCCCGCUGUUCUGACGGUACCCAAAGAAUAAGCACCGGCUAACUUCGUG
rnacentral:rRNA from 1 species